rnacentral:snoRNA from 1 species
GUUCCCAUUUAUUUGCCGCUAUUUUCUCUCAGUGAUAUGAGCAGUUACACAUGGGAUAAAAUAACAUUGGGUUAUUGUAAAUUGAGAUGGAAUAACCAUUUCAUCUCUUCUGCAUGGUCUAGGCAUUG